AGAGUUUGAUCAUGGCUCAGGACGAACGCUGGCGGCGUGCCUAAUACAUGCAAGUCGAGCGAGCGGAACUAACAGAUUUACUUCGGUAAUGACGUUAGGAAAGCGAGCGGCGGAUGGGUGAGUAACACGUGGGGAACCUGCCCCAUAGUCUGGGAUACCACUUGGAAACAGGUGCUAAUACCGGAUAAGAAAGCAGAUCGCAUGAUCAGCUUUUAAAAGGCGGCGUAAGCUGUCGCUAUGGGAUGGCCCCGCGGUGCAUUAGCUAGUUGGUAAGGUAAAGGCUUACCAAGGCGAUGAUGCAUAGCCGAGUUGGGAGACUGAUCGGCCACAUUGGGACUGAGACACGGCCCAAACUCCUACGGGAGGCAGCAGUAGGGAAUCUUCCACAAUGGACGCAAGUCUGAUGGAGCAACGCCGCGUGAGUGAAGAAGGUUUUCGGAUCGUAAAGCUCUGUUGUUGGUGAAGAAGGAUAGAGGUAGUAACUGGCCUUUAUUUGACGGUAAUCAACCAGAAAGUCACGGCUAACUACGUGCCAGCAGCCGCGGUAAUACGUAGGUGGCAAGCGUUGUCCGGAUUUAUUGGGCGUAAAGCGAGCGCAGGCGGAAGAAUAAGUCUGAUGUGAAAGCCCUCGGCUUAACCGAGGAACUGCAUCGGAAACUGUUUUUCUUGAGUGCAGAAGAGGAGAGUGGAACUCCAUGUGUAGCGGUGGAAUGCGUAGAUAUAUGGAAGAACACCAGUGGCGAAGGCGGCUCUCUGGUCUGCAACUGACGCUGAGGCUCGAAAGCAUGGGUAGCGAACAGGAUUAGAUACCCUGGUAGUCC
rnacentral:rRNA from 1 species